rnacentral:miRNA from 1 species
ACGCCAUUUGGAGCUGUUCUUU